rnacentral:rRNA from 1 species
CCCUCUGGGCUCCUUGGUGAUUCAUAAUAACUUAACGAAUCGCAUGGCCUUGCGCCGGCGAUGGUUCAUUCAAAUUUCUGCCCUAUCAAUUUUCGAUGGUAGAGUAGUGGUCUACCAUGAUCUUAACGGGUAACGGGGAAUUAGGGUUCUAUUCCGGAGAAGGAGCCUGAGAAACGGCUACUACAUCCAAGGAAGGCAGCAGGCGCGCAAAUUACCCAAUGCUAAUUCAGCGAGGUAGUGACAAUAAAUACUGAUACGGGGCUCUUUCGGGUCUCGUAAUUGGAAUGAGUACAAUCUAAAUCCCUUAACGAGGAACAAUUGGAGGGCAAGUCUGGUGCCAGCAGCCGCGGUAAUUCCAGCUCCAAUAGCGUAUAUUAAAGUUGUUGCCGUUAAAAAGCUCGUAGUUGAACCUUGGACCUGGCUGAUCUGUCCUCCUAAUCGAGCGCACGGAUUCGGUCGGGUCUUUCCUUCUGGGGAGCCCUAUGCCCUUCACUGGGUGUAGUGGGGAACCAGGACUUUUACCUUGAAAAAAUUAGAGUGUUCAAAGCAGGCCUUUGCUCGAAUACAUUAGCAUGGAAUAAUAGAAUAGGACAUCGGUUCUAUUUUGUUGGUUUCUAGGACCGCUGUAAUGAUUAAUAGGGAUAGUCGGGGGCGUCAGUAUUCAAUUGUCAGAGGUGAAAUUCUUGGAUUUAUUGAAGACUAACUACUGCGAAAGCAUUCGCCAAGGAUGUUUUCAUUAAUCAGUGAACGAAAGUUAGGGGAUCGAAGACGAUCAGAUACCGUCGUAGUCUUAACCAUAAACUAUGCCGACUAGGGAUCGGACGGUGGUUUUUUUAUGCCCCGUUCGGCACCUUACGAGAAAUCAAAGUUUUUGGGCUCGGGGGGGAGUAUGGUCGCAAGGCUGAAACUUAAAGAAAUUGACGGAAGGGCACCACCAGGCGUGGAGCUGCGGCUUAAUUUGACUCAACACGGGGAAACUCACCAGGUCCAGACAUGCUUAGGAUUGACAGAUUGAUAGCUCUUUCUUGAUUGUAUGGGUGGUGGUGCAUGGCCGUUCUUAGUUGGUGGAGUGAUUUGUCUGCUUAAUUGCGAUAACGAACGAGACCUUGACCUGCUAAAUAGCCAGGUUGACUUUUGUCGGCCGCCGGCUUCUUAGAGGGACUUUUGGCUCAAGCCAAUGGAAGUACGAGGCAAUAACAGGUUAACCUUUGGAGUUACAUUCCAUCACAGGCCUGUAAGAGUGAACCUCGAUAAAAAAUCACUAGUCAAGCAUCAUUCCUCUUGGUGGAAGUUCCACCUAUAGUCGGGAGAGGAGCAGCCGUUCAGCGGUUGUCGAUGCUGGCGAGACAACCUGGUUCAGGGGACGCUUCUCCAUACUCUUCGGUGUGGAUGCCAAUCCUGAGGCGAGCCAAAGUAGCGUUUGGCCGUCGCAACGCGCGCAAAGGUGUCGGCCCUACGCUCGAGAGAGCUGGGGUUUGAGGUACGUGC